rfam:Oryza brachyantha chromosome 7, whole genome shotgun sequence.
GGCCAGUGAUGCGAGAACUAUUUGCUACUCUUGAUGGGGCAAAUGUCCCAUCUGAUGAUCACUAACCACUAACCACCAAGAUCUUUGAGGAC